GGUCGUGUGGCCCAAUGGCAAGGCGUCCGACUACGAAUCGGGAGAUUCUGGGUUCGAUCCCCAGCACGAUCA
rnacentral:tRNA from 2 species